AGAAGAGUUUCUAACACCCGAGUCUAAUCGAAGGAGCAAAAAGAAAUAGACUCGUAAUAGCGGAUCAGAGUCUGAGCAGCCUGAGUCUAAGACCCAAAAGACUCUCAACCCAAGAUCAAAUGUAUGGCAACAUUUCAGAAGAUUGAAGGACAAUCGUGACAAAUGUAACUGCAACUAUUGUGGAAAGGAAUUCAGCUGUCCAACAAAAUUAGGGACAAAAACCUUGUGGAAUCAUCUAAAAAUAUGCAAGGCAUAUUUGGCAUGGGAAGACUGUCAAAAUCCAUCCGAAGGUCAACAGGUUAUUAGUAAAGAUGGGAGUUUACAAUCUGGAAAAGUGCCUGAGCAUUUUUUAGAGAAGCUUUGAAUGAAAUGGUGGUGAUAGGAGAGUUACCAUUGUCGUUUGUAGAAUGUGCGGCAAUGAAACAUUUUUGCAACAAGGUGAACCUGUACAAGCCGCAUUCAAGAAGGACAGCAGGAAGAGACAUAGUAAAGAUUUUUGUUGAGAGGAAAGCUACUCU